rnacentral:rRNA from 1 species
CAACAUGAGAGUUUGAUCCUGGCUCAGAACGAACGCUGGCGGCAGGCUUAACACAUGCAAGUCGAGCGCCCCGCAAGGGGAGCGGCAGACGGGUGAGUAACGCGUGGGAAUCUACCCAUCUCUACGGAACAACUCCGGGAAACUGGAGCUAAUACCGUAUACGUCCUUUUGGAGAAAGAUUUAUCGGAGAUGGAUGAGCCCGCGUUGGAUUAGCUAGUUGGUGGGGUAAAGGCCUACCAAGGCGACGAUCCAUAGCUGGUCUGA